AAAAAUUUAGUUAAAUUAAUAAUAUAAAUUUGUCAAAUUUAAGUCAUUUUUUAAAAAAUAAUUUUUA
rnacentral:tRNA from 1 species